UACGGAAGGGGCUAGCGUUGUUCGGAAUUACUGGGCGUAAAGCGCACGUAGGUGGCGACGUAAGUCGGGUGUGAAAGCCCCGGGCUCAACCUGGGAAUUGCAUUCGAGACUGCAUUGCUGGAGUACGGAAGAGGAGGGCGGAAUUCCCGGUGUAGCGGUGAAAUGCGUAGAUAUCGGGAGGAACAUCAGUGGCGAAGGCGGCCCUCGGGUCCAGUAAUGACACUCAAGUGCGAAAGCGUGGGGAGCAAACAGG
rnacentral:rRNA from 1 species